rnacentral:rRNA from 1 species
UACGGGGGGAGCAAGCGUUGUUCGGAUUUACUGGGCGUAAAGGGCGCGUAGGCGGCGUAACAAGUCACUUGUGAAAUCUCCGGGCUUAACCCGGAGCGGCCAAGUGAUACUGUUGUGCUAGAGUGCGGAAGGGGCUACUGGAAUUCUCGGUGUAGCGGUGAAAUGCGUAGAUAUCGAGAGGAACACCUGCGGCGAAGGCGGGUAGCUGGGCCGACACUGACGCUGAGGCGCGAAAGCUAGGGGGAGCAAACGGG